GACCCUCGGCGCAUCGCUCAGUAACACGCGGACAAUCUGCCCUAAGGUGGGGUAUAAUCUCGGGAAACUGAGGCUAAUACCCCAUAGGUCACCUCUGCUGGAAUGCUUGGUGGUCGAAAGUUCCGACGCCUUAGGAUGAGUCUGCGGCCUAUCAGGUAGUAGUGAGGGUAACGUCCUCACUAGCCUUCGACGGGUACGGGCGUUGAGAGACGUCGCCCGGAGAUGGACUCUGAGACACGAGUCCAGGCCCUACGGGGCGCAGCAGGCGCGAAAACUUCACAAUGUGGGAAACCACGAUGAGGGGAACCCAAGUGUCUGCACCAUGUGUAGACUUUUCCGCAGUCUAAACAACUGUGGGAAUAAGGGCUGGGUAAGACGGGUGCCAGCCGCCGCGGUAAUACCUGCAGCCCAAGUGGUGCUCGUUUUUAUUGGGCCUAAAACGUCCGUAGCCGGGUUGUUAAAUGCCUGGGUAAAUCGUGUCGCUUAACGAUACGAAUUCCAGGUAGACUGGCAGCCUCGGGACCGGGAGAGGUCAGAGGUACGUCAGGGGUAGGGGUAAAAUCCUGUAAUCCUUGGCGGACCACCAGUGGCGAAGGCGUCUGACUAGAACGGAUCCGACGGUAAGGGACGAAGCCCUGGGGCGCAAACGGGAUUAGAUACCCCGGUAGUCCAGGGUGUAAACGCUGCGCGCUUGG
rnacentral:rRNA from 1 species